UUUUUUUUUUUUUUUUUUUUUUUUACAAAUUGAGGUUUUAUUUUAUUAUUUUAUCAGGAUAUAAAGGUGCAUAGAUAUUCGUUACUUGUAUUUAAAUACUGGUUCAGUUCAGUGUAUAAUAACUGUAAAACAGCACAUCAAUUCUUCUAUCUUCUUGUGGUUCGAUCUUUAUUUACACAGUUCCAAGAAAUCUUCUGAGGAACUCAUGAGCGGCGUGGGCGUUUCAUGUCACUUCCAUCUCUCAUUUCAGGAUGGUUAUUGAAUAAUUCUUCAAUAAACUGGCGAACAGUAGCAAGUCCUCUUUCUACAGCAUCUGGGUUACCCGAAAUGUAAAUCUUUCGA
rnacentral:ribozyme from 12 species